rnacentral:rRNA from 1 species
AGCAGCCGCGGUAAUUCCAGCUCCAAUAGCGUAUAUAAAGUUGUUGCAGUUAAAAGCUCUAGUUGAAUUUUACGGGCAUUGGGCCGGGCCAUGGCUGGUCCCGGUUGCCCUUUCGGCAGGGGGUAAGUUGAAACCUUGGGUUCCGUCAGGUUGCAAUUUUCCGGGUUCCCAACCCCUUUCCUUGGGGAGAAUCCGGCAAGAUCCGAUGCCUUUAAAUUUUGGGUCCAUUUUUGCCAUGGGGUCGGGGGUAA